rnacentral:tRNA from 1 species
UGGGAGAUCGUCUAAUGGUAGGACAGCGGAUUCUGGAUCCGCUAAUGUAGGUUCGAUUCCUACUCUCCCAG